GCCGCGAUCGCAUAACUUGGUAUUGCGCAGGCCUUGAGAGCCUGUUUCCUUCGGGAUAUCCCGGUUCGAAUCCGGGUCGCGGCG
rnacentral:tRNA from 1 species